UACGUAGGGGGCAAGCGUUGUCCGGAAUCACUGGGCGUAGAGGGCGCGUAGGCGGCGCAGGAAGUCAACGGUGAAAGUUCGGGGCUCAACCCUGAAUCGGCCGUCGAUACUCCUGGGCUCGAGCACUGUAGAGGCAGAUGGAAUUCCGGGUGUAGCGGUGGAAUGCGUAGAGAUCCGGAAGAACACCGGUGGCGAAGGCGGUCUGCUGGGCAGUUGCUGACACUGAGGCGCGACAGCGUGGGGAGCAAACAGG
rnacentral:rRNA from 1 species